GCCUCUGUGGCCUAUUGGAUAAGGCGUCGGUCUCUUAAACCGAAGAUUGUGGGUUCGAGUCCCACCAGGGUUA
rnacentral:tRNA from 1 species